rnacentral:rRNA from 1 species
GACGUAGGGCGCGAGCGUUGUCCGGAAUUAUUGGGCGUAAAGAGCUCGUAGGCGGCUCGUUGCGUCGGCUGUGAAAACCCACAACUCAACUGUGGGCCUGCAGCCGAUACGGGCGAGCUAGAGUUCGGUAGGGGAGACUGGAAUUCCUGGUGUAGCGGUGAAAUGCGCAGAUAUCAGGAGGAACACCGGUGGCGAAGGCGGGUCUCUGGGCCGAUACUGACGCUGAGGAGCGAAAGCGUGGGGAGCGAACAGG